CCAUUUGAAUCAUCAGUCGGUAGAACGGCGGACUGUUAAUCCGUAUGUCACUGGUUCGAGUCCAGUCAGAGGAGCCA
rnacentral:tRNA from 1 species